CGCCAGACUCCUACGGGAGGCAGCAGUGAGGAAUAUUGGUCAAUGGGCGGAAGCCUGAACCAGCCAAGUCGCGUGAGGGAUUAAGGCCCUAUGGGUCGUAAACCUCUUUUGUCAGGGAGCAAGGUCGUCCACGUGUGGGCGUAUGGAGAGUACCUGAAGAAAAAGCAUCGGCUAACUCCGUGCCAGCAGCCGCGGUAAUACGGAGGAUGCGAGCGUUAUCCGGAUUUAUUGGGUUUAAAGGGUGCGCAGGCGGAAUGUCAAGUCAGCGGUAAAAUUUCGGGGCUCAACCCCGUCGUGCCGUUGAAACUGGCGUUCUUGAGUGAGCGAGAAGUAUGCGGAAUGCGUGGUGUAGCGGUGAAAUGCAUAGAUAUCACGCAGAACUCCGAUUGCGAAGGCAGCAUACCGGCGCUCAACUGGCGCUCAUGCACGAAAGCGUGGGUAUCGAACAGGAUUAGAUACCCGAGUAC
rnacentral:rRNA from 1 species